rnacentral:sRNA from 1 species
AGCCUAAACCUUAAAGCAAUUUAGAGCAUGGCAAAAAAUACCCAUCCUUGAUAUUAAACUCCUCGUCAGAGUACUCAGGGAUGGGUCGUAGCCGAAAGGCUAUGGGUAGUAGUAAUACUAUC